GCCGGGCGCGGUGGCUCACGCCUGUAAUCCCAGCACCUUGGGAGGCCGAGGUGGGCGGAUCACUUGAGGCCAGGAGUUCAAGACCAGCCUGGCCAAUAUGGUGAAAUCCCGUCUCUA
rnacentral:SRP_RNA from 1 species